rnacentral:rRNA from 1 species
UACGUAGGGGGCAAGCGUUGUCCGGAUUUAUUGGGCGUAAAGAGCGUGUAGGCGGCCAGAUAGGUCCGUUGUGAAAACUCGAGGCUCAACCUCGAGACGCCGAUGGAAACCAUUUGGCUAGAGUCCGGAAGAGGAGAGUGGAAUUCCUGGUGUAGCGGUGAAAUGCGCAGAUAUCAGGAAGAACACCCGUGGCUAAGGCGGCUCUCUAGGACGGUACUGACGCUGAGACGCGAAAGCGUGGGGAGCGAACAGG